UGCAGAAGGUCCUUGAUGCCUCAAGGAGAGCAUUUGCAGAUACACCUUGGUGUGGCACAGAGCACACAAAUACAUUCCAAAACAGUUCGUGUCUGGCUGAAGAGAGACAGUGGGCAGUACUGGCCCAGCAUAUACCAUGCAAUGCCAUCUCCAUGUUCAUGCAUGUCUUUUAACCCGGAAACCAGAAGGCUGUCCAUAGGUCUAGACAAUGGUACAAUCUCAGAAUUCAUUUUAUCAGAAGAUUACAACAAGAUGACACUAGUGAAAAGUUACCAGGCUCAUCAAAGCAGGGUGAUGAUGAUUCUGUUUGUGCUGGAGAUGGAGUGGGUGCUGAGCACCGGCCAGGACAAGCACUUCACGUGGCACUGUUCGGAGAGCGGCCAGCGGCUGGGGGGGUACCGCACCAGCGCCGGCGCCUGCGGCCUGCAAUUUGAUGUGGAAACCCGGCAUGUGUUUGUUGGUGACCAUUCUGGGCAAGUGACCAUCCUCAAACUAGAGCAAGAGUCCUGCAGCCUUGUUACCACAUUUAAGGGACACACAGGUGGUGUGACUGCUCUCUGCUGGGACCCAAUACAGCGAGUUUUAUUCUCAGGCAGUUCUGAUCAUUCCAUUAUAAUGUGGGAUAUUGGAGGAAGAAAAGGAACAGCCAUUGAGCUGCAAGGACAUAAUGAUAAAGUUCAGUCUCUCUCCUAUGCUCACCACACUCGGCAGCUCAUCUCCUGUGGUGCAGACGGGGGAAUCGUCGUCUGGAACAUGGAUGUUGAGAGGCAGGAGACCCCAGAGUGGCUGGAUAGUGACUCCUGUCAAAAAUGUGACCAGCCUUUCUUCUGGAACUUCAAGCAAAUGUGGGACAGUAAGAAAAUAGGCCUCAGGCAGCAUCACUGCCGGAAGUGCGGGAAAGCCGUGUGCGGGAAGUGCAGCUCCAAGCGCUCCUCCAUCCCGCUGAUGGGCUUCGAGUUCGAAGUGAGGGUCUGCGACAGCUGCCACGAGUCCAUCACGGAUGAGGAGCGGGCACCCACGGCUACUUUCCAUGACAGCAAGCACAACAUUGUUCACGUGCACUUCGAUGCCACCAGGGGAUGGCUGCUGACCUCGGGGACAGACAAGGUUAUUAAGUUGUGGGAUAUGACACCAGUAGUGUCUUGAUGUUACAUCAGUGGAACUUGAAAGGUGAUAUUUACAGAAGAAACUGAUUUCCUAACCCUAAUUAUACUGCAGAAGAUAGAUAACACUGGGUGCAUAUGGCAGAAGAAAGGAACUAAUGUGUUUACAACAACUUUAUGUCCUCUGCUUGAUCCAGGCUGAACAUUUGCACGAAGACUCUUUCCACUUCUUCUCAAAAUAUACAAGAAGGUAUUUUUUUAACUAACGGUUUGUACGAUCUGGCUUUGGUUGUCUUGAGUUUAUUUGGAAAAACCUGUGUGCAGUGCAAUUUUUAGUUUUUAUAUUUCACUGUUUCAAGAUACUUGCUGCUUUGUACAGAGAGUUCUUGGGUUGUGUCUUCUUCUGUGAGUUUUUGGUGUCAACAGACUGUGUAAGGCAAUCGGCUCUCCCUGCAGCCAGCACCUGUUGGUUUGGGAUAUUUCUGCUGGCCGUGCUCUCUCCAGAGGAGGAAAUCCAGGCACAGUCUCUGGGUGCAUCACCAAGGAGCUGAUGGACUAUUGCAAUUCCUAAAAGGGCUCUACCAUCCACUUGUCCUAGUGGGCAUCAUCCAGAGAGCAUUCAUUGGUCUGUAUAACCUUCCUGCCUCUUCCUUUGCUGCACAAGUCGCAGAACCAGGGGUCAGGUUAUUCAGCAACUGAUUUCUACACAAAACUGAAACAGUUUUCCAGCGCAGAGCAUUACAAGGAGCACACAGACUUGUUUAAAUUUGAUGAUGCUGACAGUCUGAUUCAAAUGAAAUUAUUGGCAACAGGAACUUUUGGGAGUGUGUGGAUGGAGGGGGGCAGAUCUAAAACUGGUCUAGAUCUGAAAAGUCUGGUUUAUCUCUACCUCUACCUUGCACAGCAACAUUUCAGCAUUUAUACCUGUUUAUGUUGUUGAAAAUGAAUUUAGUUUUUCCUGUUUUCCAUAUGGUUAAUCAUAUUUAUUUUUUAAAACGAUGAUGGUUUUUAUUAAUUUCCUCUAUAGACCCAAAAGUGAUAUUGCUGAAUGAUGCCCAUUGUCCUGUUGUCAUACUUUACAGUUUCUCUUAAAAAUAAACAGUAUUUAAAAACUUAGAUUGACCAAAAUUACCUUUUUAGAAUGACAUUGUCAAGGUGAAUAAACUAAAAAAGCCCUUUUUUCCAAAGGGACCAUCUCUGAAGAGACAACUCUCCAUUCCAUUAAUCCAUGGAUUUUACUUUUUAGCAUGGCAUUACUCGCACACUUCAAAGAAACUGGUGUUCAGAAUUGAGCUGCAGACCAGACCAAAGGCUUUCCUGCACCUUCUGUUUCAGCAGGCCUUGUGGCACAUUGGUGGUGCUCAGUCUUGUCCUGUUUUGGACUUACCUUCUUCCCUCUGUAGUGGGAAGACCAUGACAUCUGCCCCUACAGAGCACAUUGCUACCUGGAGAAGCCUUGUGUUCUCUCUUGAGAGAGAAUGCCAGAAGAAAAUAAAGCUUUUCCUGUGUUUGCCCAGCAGCAAUUCACUUUUGAGGGGAAAAAAAUGGUUAACUCAAUCCAUGGCAUUAAUUCUGUCCAGUGAGCUGCUGCAGUAAAGGGUGAGGGUACUUCUGUGUGCACACCACAGGACUGCUAUGUAUUUUCUAGGAAAAAUCUCUUUUUAAACAUCCUAUAACCUGUGAUGAAGCAUUUUGCAGCCAGGUUCUGUGAAAUAACACCACCUUUAGUUUCCUGGUCGUACAGCCUGUUGUUGGUUCCCCUCUAGACUGCAUAUUUUAAAGCCUAUUUUCAAACAUAAUUCAUACAUUAUUUUUCCAGCUUGAAAGUUGUUUUCUCAGUCCUCCCACUAUCUCUCCUGGAAACUAGAUGUUUGUUUCCUCUUGGAAUGCUUUUCAUUACACCUUGUGCAUGUUUUCUGAUGACUGAAGUGUUCUUGGCUGUCAAAGCUAUGCAAGAUGAGCAAGUGGCCUGCCGUAUUUCGUUCCAGCUGGAGAAUAUGGAAUAUGUACAAAGCUUUGCUGGACUCUGGUGUUCCAUGUUCCCUUGGGCUCAGGUCCUUUUGGCCAAAGACCUGAGUUGUGCUGUGCUGGAAGUGCAUCUCACAGUGACAGAAACACAGAAGUGAAUUUAAAUUGCUGUUUAGUGCUCGGUUCCUGAGGAGACAGCAGCGGCACCAAGUCUGGGACUCCAGCAUGGACUGUGCUCACACUGAUGGAGUGGUGGAAUCAGCAAGCUGAGGAUCUGCCCUGAGAUCAACACCUACUCCUGAACAUGUAAUGUGCAAACAAAGGUGAAGAACUGAUUCCAAAGGAGACUAUAUUUGAGAAUGACUUGUUUGGACUGUUCUGCAAUGGACUCGUGGCCAUUCCCCCCUUGUCUUCCAAGGAGUCAUGGUUUCAGUGUUGCUUAUGUGUGGAUGUGGGGUAUGCGAAACUGUUUUGCAGAAUUUUCCUGGCUGUUCUUUCUGACUGAAUGACCUGCAGGGUUAUCUGGAUUUAAGCUAAACAUCUCCUUAUCUUGCAGUCUCAGGACAAACUGCUCUGGGCUUAGAAAAAUUAUAUAAACUGCAAGUGAAGCUGAGGCAGGAAGGAAAUCUGUCCCUUUGCAAUGCCCUCAAGAGCUGUAAUAUAGAGAUAUGAAGGGAAAAUAGAUGUAUCUAAUUCAAUAAUUCUUUUUACUUUCCACAUGAAACAAGAAGGAUUUGACACUGGGAGAGUUAAAAUGUCUGCCUUCCUCUUCUGCUGUGUUAGAGUAGCAAUCUCAGAUUAUUACUGUCUGCUAGACCCAUAUGAAAAGAGAUCUCUGUUGCCUGGUCCUUUUUUUUCCAUUUUACCUGCUGAAUAACCAAUCUGAGCUGUUUUUAUGAAUUGCAUUAUUGGAGGAUGGGAGGAGGGUGUGUUUUGAUACAGAUGUAAACUAUACAGUGCCACAUACCUACACACAUCUCAAAUGAAGCCAAGCCCCCCUUCCCUGGGGCUGCUGAAGGGCAGUAGCUUUUAGUGAUACCUCGUGCUGUGACAAGGGGCACACCAACAUUGCUGGCUUCCCUCUGCUCUGCACAUCAGGAAAGGUGCUUUUACAUUUCUCCCUUAGCUGGUGCUUCCUUGUGGGAAGAGGCAGUGUUCUCCAGAGCAUCUGCCUACUAUUCUCAGCUUUAAAAUGAGCAGUGUCUGUAGGGCUUAGGCAGGUGAUAGGGUCACAUACACAGUGCCUGAGCAGCUUGCUAGGGUCACUUGUGUCCCAGGUGGGGCAACCUGAGCAUCAAAUUUCAGUCUUUUUAAGCUAAAAAUAUUUAAGUGAUGGGAAAAGAAUAUAGGCAUCAGCUUUAAUGUAGCAUUGAUGUUCCUCCCAUCAACCAGGAGACCUAACACCAUGCUUAGAUGUUGAAACUGUAGUGAUAGGGCUACAAGUCAGCCAGUGUGACAGGAUGAUCCUGAACAGUGUGCUCAGCUGUGAGCACCCUUGUCUGCAGCUGCUUUUUGCAGCCAAGCCCAGGCGACUCCCUGUUCUGUCCUCCAGAACUUGAGGCCACCACCUGAAUGUCAGCAUGUGGGCUCUUAGUACCUCAGUAGUGGUUACUGCACUUUGCCUGAGAGGGUGGCAUGAGUAUCUCCAAUCGUGGGAAAGGGAGGGAGGGAUGUGUUCCCUCUGAGUGGGGGUUGGUUGCUGAUGAGAAGGUGGAUGGCUGGAUGUGCAAAAAGGAUGAUCCAAAACAGUUGUAGGGGAAAAAAAAUUGCUUUAUGUCUGCUGAGGAAAUAAUUGUUAGAAAGGAAUAUUCGACUUUUCUUAUUAUUGUUAUUUUUUCCUGUAUCUGGUUCUGUGCUUCCCAGUACAAGAGAGAAAUGAAACUACUGGAUGGAGCCCAGCAAAGGGCCACUGAGAUUGUGAAAGGUACUGGAGCAUAUCUGGGAGACCUGGGACUGUUCAUCUUGGAGAAAAGAAGGCUCAGAGGGAUCUCAUCAGUGUGUAUAAAUGCCCGAAGGGAGGGUGCAAAGAGAAUGCAGUAUUGUCCAGUGACAGAACCAGAGGCAAUGGGCACAAACUGAAACACAGAUUUCCUCUGAACGUCAGGAAACAAUUUUUACUGUGAGGGUGACUAAGCAUGGGCACAGACUGGCCAGGCAGGUAGUUCGUGGGUUCUCCAUCCUUGGAGAUAUUCAAAACCCAACUGGAUAUGACCCUGGGCAACCACCUCUAGGUGACCCUGCUUGAGCAGGACCAGAUAACCUUUGAAGGGUCUCUCCCACCUCAGCCAUUCUGUGAUUCAAAGUCCACUUAAUGCCUGUUUCUACUCUAUUGUUAAGAGAAGGAAAAAAAAAAUAAGUAUCUUUCCUUAAAUCUAAACUGCUACCAAAAUAGUUACUAACAAAUUAGCAAAUAUUACUAUAUCUGUCCUUGUUGUUCCAAACAGGAUUUGUGUAGCAAAAACCAAAGUUCUGUUUUGUAGCACAUAGGAAAUAGGGCUACAAUGUGUGGUUUUACAGGCCACGUCCUUUCCAGGAGACCACAUUGAGCACAUGUUUCCAGUUAGGACUCAGAAGACUUUUUUCUAUGUGUGGCAAUAGUAUGCAAAAGUAACUACAAACUUGAUCCUUUUUUCAGAGUGCAUUGAUGUUCUGAGUCCCUUCUGUAAUGACCUUUUAUGUAAUGUUGAGGAAGACAGAGGUUUUUCUCUUCAAAAUUGCAUCUUGUGAAUGUUGGCAGGAAAUCUUUGCUCCUCAGAUGGAAAAAUGUAGUCCUGAAGUUCUGGGAUUUGAGAUGAACUUUGUGUGAUCAAACGUGACUUUUCAUUGCAUUUUCCCAGUUUGGGGAUUUUCCCUUGUGACCAGUCUUUGUCCAACUCUGAAAUUUUGUUUGCUGCAGGACACAUUGUACUGCUCAGAAGAGAAAGAGAUUGAGUUCAAUUGAAACUGCUGCCAAGUAGGGACAUUGAACUCAAACCAAAAUGAAAACAAGACAGCAAAGUCUGUGCAAAGAGGGGAUACCAAGAAAGAAUGGUAUCAGCAUGCAAACAAAACCUAAAAAAAACCAAGCCAAAACAAAAAGCACCUCCAGUAUAGAAAUGAAUAUUCAUCAGAACUGUAUAAAGCCAAACCAUCCCCCCAUGCCAGUACUGUAAGCUAGCCAACAGCCAUGGUCCAGAUCCAGAAGCCACAAGGAACAUAGAGUUUUUCCAGUCUACAAAGAUUCGACUUCCAUUUCUUGUUCUUUGGUUCAAUUGCCAAAUAAUAUUUAUCUACCUCAAGUAGUUUUUUCAGAACUGCAUUAAAUGCAUAAGCACUUCGACAUUGAAAGGAUGGGGAAGAGACACAUUACUACUGAGACGGUACAGAAGUGUCAGGCCUUAUGAAAAUAGUUUUGCCUCCAAUUAUUUGUUCUUUAGACAAUAAAUAAUCUGAAUUUAUUAAAGGGUUUAUCACCUUUAUACAUACAUUUUGUAACAGGUCAGGGCUUCCUUCAGAUGUGAAAGACCCACUGCUAACACCCCUAUUUUGUCCUGUCCCAAGAAGACUCUGUGGGGUUGCCAUGGACAAGUAAUUAAGAAAUUUUCACAAAUAAACAAGUACACAAACUUCCUUGCUACAUCUUUGUCAUUAGCCCCAGUUUUAGCUGUGAUUUUGCUUUCCAAAGGCUGAACUUUGGCAGUUCUGACUGUUUAGUAAGUUAAGUUUGUCAUACUGACCAAUAUCUUGUGGAUUUUGCUGUCUUUUUAAUUAGAGGGAUUUUUUAUGAAAAAAAAAAAGGAACUUACUGGUUUCUGUUCAGGUCAGUGUUUGCAGGAAUGCUGCUCAGCAAUUUGACCACCUUUUCUACCAACUACAUUGUAACAUUUUCAGGUACUGUUCCAUUAUGUAAAUAAGUGUUUCUGAUGUAGCUGAAUAAAUUGUGGUAUCUUAACCCCACUAAAUUAAUUUCUAUCAGCUUUUGGCUAUUUCUUUUCCUUCUCUAUGUGUGUAAUGAGGAAUUUGGUUUAUUUCCAGUUGUGACUGGACCCAUUCACCUGCCUGUUCUGUGAAUUGCCAUAAAACUGAUAGCUAUUGUAUGGAUGUGUCCUUUGCCAGGACAAAUUCUUGCUCUGAGUGCCUGGCAGUGGGUGAGCAGCCCAAAGGAAAUGGUGCGUGGGCAGUGGAGAAAUUGCACUAUUUUGUGCAUCACUCCAAGGCUCCCUGUGGAUUGUGGAUUCUGAACUGGAAAGUAAAGAGAAGAUGCUCAAGAUUUUUAACCACCAAAGAAAACGGCACCUCCUGGGACUUCUCUCCCUGAGGUUUGUGCAAUGCAGGUUUUACCACUCUUCCUCUGUUUGGAAAAUAUUUUUAUCUGUGAAAUGGCACUGGCACUGCCAGUACAGCAAAGAUUUGAGUUGUUUCUCCUGGCAGCAGGGUAGAAACCUGUCCUGCUGAAGACCUUUGGCCAGACUGACACUGUAUCCCUUUGUAAAGCUGAGCAUUAGCUUUUGUUUUGAGAGAGAACAAGCUUCCUUCAGAGGAAUACAUCAUUUUUCUUUAUGUUUGUCUGAUGGCUCCCUCUAGAGAGAGGAACAUAAAUACUGACAUACGUCACAAAUUGAAGUUCUUGGAUUCGAUCACUUUUUAGUCCCAGAAAUGUUUUUGUUGCACUUGCGCCCUAUUCGGUGCCUUUUCAAAGACUUCUUUCUCUCAUUGUCUAGAUCAGUGCUUUCAGUGACUACAGGCAUACAGAGUUUUCGAGUCAUCUAAGUUGCAUUUCAAAAUUAUCUCCUGUGAUCAGUUGCUGGCUCUGUCCAAAUGUCUCCAGAACUAUCUCUCCCAACAAAGCAAGAAGUGAAAGCCUGACAGCCAAACAGGGAAAUACUGUGAGCUGAGCUAGAGGGGAUUUGAAGCUUUGUGCUGCCAGAGUGAAACUGCCUGUUUAAAAUGACAGUGAGUGGAUGUUGACCAGCACUAGUUUUAGGAAAGUAUGAUCCAGUGUCAUGAGAUGGGGUGCUUGGUGCUUUAUUUUCACAGGGAGGCUGAGACAGUAACAUACAGAGGAGCUUACAGAUUAAACAGCUUCAUAGCUGCCCCCUCCACUGUUCAAUCAGGCUGUUCCCUGAAAGAAUAACUCCAAGUUCACUCUCCACUCACCAAGUUCAGCACUGCUUAAUGAAAAGUAGUACUGCUCCAAUGCCAUGGCUUUUAGAAAGGCUCUGUCAUUACAAAAAUACAAAUUAGUGCUUGUACUGACAAUUGAAAUGGCUGGGACUGCCCUACCAAAUAGAUUUAUUUGCAUUGAGGUUUGCAGGACUGACUUAUCAGACUAUAAUGAAGGAUAUAGCAGAACUCCCUUUGAGCACAGGCAGUGCAUGUUCAACAUCCCACCUGAGCCUUGUUUAACAGGAAGGGGUUGCCCUGCUCACACCUAGUUCCCACUGAGUGGAACAUAGAAGCUGGAGUGUGUGUAACUGCAAAUGCCAACAACUGGUAUUUGCAGUUUACUCCAAAUUUGUGAGGUAUGUAUGGGAGCACCCUCAUUCAAAGGCAAACAACAAACAAUUUUUUACACCUUUACUCAAUAGCAGAUUGAUUUAGUUUAUUGGGUUGUUUUCUUUUUUAACAAUGAAUAAAGGUGACCCAGAAAUGAAACUUAAGACAAAAUGCAGUUUACAAAAUUGUUUGAUAUCUGUUACGGUGAUCUCCUAAAAUUUUCAUCCAAGGCAAAAAGAGAAGUUGCAGUGUCCCCUGCAUCACUGCAGUCAGUCCUGCUACACUGAUGAUAGGCUCUCUUUCCACUAGGAUGUAGGGAAAUUACCAACUCCACAUGUGCUCUGUGGUGCUACAUUCCUGUGCAAGAUCCCUGAGAGCAGAAACUUCUCGACCAGGUGACUUCAUGACAUGAAGAAAAAUGUGAAGCCAUCAGAGUGAGGUCAGAGUCAUAAAAGCCUCAAAGCUGCCACAAGAAGUGUUGGGCUGCACAUGUGCUGUGUGCUGUGCUUGUCAUUCCAUUCCCAUGAACCAGGUGUGCUCUUGAACUCCCUGUGUGCAUUGCUUAGCAAGGACCUGUGCCACCUUCAUUUUCUGGUCAUCGAUGGAUGCUGUUUUUAUUUUGCUCAUAAAGGUUUAAAAGUGGAAGAGGAGACUGAGGGGAAACCUAAUCACAGUCUACAAC